CUCAUGCUGAUGAUGGGGAGGAUGAUGGGGGUGAGGCCGAACAUGCUGAUGAGGAGGAGAAUGAGGUCGUCGAGGAUGUUUCGGUUGACGGAGAUCCGGCCGACGAGGAUGAAUGAGCUAUGGGAGCCCAAGUAGAUUUUAGGCUUUUUGGUUAAGUUUUUUGUUCAUUUUGUGUAAUGAUGUCGAACGUCAAACACUUAGGUUUAACGCGUGUUUGCGUCAUCGACCAAUUGGUAUACUUUGGAUCAACGCAAUUUCUGCGCCUUUUGCUCGUAUGAAUAUAUUGUACCUCCGGUUGGCGUAGUUACACAAAUGUUUGCUUUUGUUUGCCGAACGGGCAGAGUUUCUAUUACGAAUGUUUCAUUUUAGUGUUAACAUUGUUGACAAGAUCCUGGUGGCAUUGACCGCCCAACCAAGUUGAUAGUGGUUCCCUAAGGGUAUUCUCCGUUCAUC
rnacentral:lncRNA from 1 species